rnacentral:rRNA from 1 species
AGUGAACGCUGGCGGUAGGCCUAACACAUGCAAGUCGAACGGCAGCACAGUAAGAGCUUGCUCUUACGGGUGGCGAGUGGCGGACGGGUGAGGAAUACAUCGGAAUCUACUUUUUCGUGGGGGAUAACGUAGGGAAACUUACGCUAAUACCGCAUACGACCUACGGGUGAAAGCAGGGGAUCUUCGGACCUUGCGCGAUUAAAUGAGCCGAUGUCGGAUUAGCUAGUUGGCGGGGUAAAGGCCCACCAAGGCGACGAUCCGUAGCUGGUCUGAGAGGAUGAUCAGCCACACUGGAACUGAGACACGGUCCAGACUCCUACGGGGGGCAGCAGUGGGGAAUAUUGGACAAUGGGCGCAAGCCUGAUCCAGCCAUACCGCGUGGGUGAAGAAGGCCUUCGGGUUGUAAAGCCCUUUUGUUGGGAAAGAAAAGCAGCAGGUUAAUACCCCGCUGUUCUGACGGUACCCAAAGAAUAAGCACCGGCUAACUUCGUG